UGCUUAGCUAUCAAAACAUUCACAAUGUAUUUCUUGGACAGUUGGGUUUGUCCCCAAAUAGCACCCUAUUCCCUAGGUAGUGCACUACUUUUAUAGCACCCUAUUCCCUAUGUAGUGCACUACUUUUGACCCAGGCCCAUAGGGAAUAGGAUUGGGUUUAGGCUUUUAACAGGGCUUGGGCGAUAUACAGUUUAUACUGUAUCCCGGGGUAAUUUGAAAUAAAGAUGGUUCGAUUUUCAAUACUGUUUAACAAUGAUAACAUUUCUUUUUGGGGGGGGGGGGGUUGGAGGCAACCAGGGGCUUGCAAGGGCUGCGAGGCCACUGCUUGUUAAGUAUAACUACACCAAAUCUAAGAUGUGUCAAAUAAAUUAUAUCGAGCCCAGCUUUGCAUUUGAUUCGCUAACUUUCUAGAUGUCAAGAUCAAACUUUUUGGUUACAGCAGAGACGUUGUGCGGAGUGGUGCGGACCUCACAGCUAUCCUCCAAUCACAACGAUUAUCCAAAUAUUGGAACUCUGUAACUUUGUUUUUCUUCUCCUCCACAGAACACGUUGGUAUGCGGUUGCUAAGCAACCGUUUAGCGUUUUUCUAGCUAAAUGUCUCUUACUAAAAUACAUACUGCAAAACCUGUUUGCUUUGAUUUUAAGCCUCAAAAUACAACAACUUACCAAUAUAACAGCUAAAUGUUUUUUUUUUUUCAUGUUUUUGAGGAUUCACAUGGGAAAAUAUUAAUGUUAUUUCCAACAACCGAUGAGCAACUCUGCUGUAAAUUCAUCUGCAUAUUGAAAGUUGAGAUUGCCCAAAGGCUCUUUGGCAAUGACAUGGAGUGGCAAGGAGUGGAAUUUUAGCUAAACAGACUGGUCACAGACACAUUUACAGUCAGCGGAUAAUCCUCCAUAAGCUGUAGGAUUUUUGUAGGAGAGGAGGGAGAGGAGUGGAGGACAAGGGGAGAGGAGGGAGGGGAGAGGAGGGAGAGGAGCGGAGGACGAGGGGAGAGGAGGGAGGGGAGAGGAGGGAGAGGAGUGGAGGACGAGGGGAGAGGAGGGAGGGGAGAGGAGGGAGAGGAGUGGAGGACGAGGGGAGAGGAGGGAAGGGAGAGGAGGGAGAGGAGUGGAGGACAAGGGGAGAGGAGGGAGAGGAGUGGAGGACGAGGGGAGAGGAGGGAGGGGAGAGGAGGGAGAGGAGUGGAGGACGAGGGGAGAGGAGGGAGAGGAGUGGAGGACGAGGGGAGAUGAGGGAAGGGAGAGGAGGGAGAGGAGGGUGAGGGGAGAGAAGGUAAGGGAGGGGAGAGGAGGAGGAGGGAGGGGAGAGGAGAACGAGAGGAGCGAGGGGAGAGGAGGGAGAGGAGUGGAGGACGAGGGGAGAGGAGGGAGAGGAGUGGAGGACGAGGGGAGAGGAGGGAGAGGAGAGGAGGACGAGGGGAGGAGGGGGUCACAUUUGACAUUUUAGUAAUUUAGCACACUCUUAUCCAGACUGACUUACAGUAGUGAGUAGAUGUCUAAGUAUCACCUCCCCUCCCCCCUGGAUC
rnacentral:lncRNA from 1 species